rnacentral:rRNA from 1 species
CGGCGGACGGGUGAGUAACACGUGGGCAACCUGCCUAUGAGACUGGGAUAACUCCGGGAAACCGGGGCUAAUACCGGAUAAUUCUUUUCUACACAUGUAGAAAAGCUGAAAGAUGGUUUCGGCUAUCACUCAUAGAUGGGCCCGCGGCGCAUUAGCUAGUUGGUGAGGUAACGGCUCACCAAGGCGACGAUGCGUAGCCGACCUGAGAGGGUGAUCGGCCACACUGGGACUGAGACACGGCCCAGACUCCUACGGGAGGCAGCAGUAGGGAAUCUUCCGCAAUGGACGAAAGUCUGACGGAGCAACGCCGCGUGAGUGAUGAAGGUUUUCGGAUCGUAAAA